rnacentral:rRNA from 1 species
UACGUAGGGUGCAAGCGUUGUCCGGAAAUUAUUGGGCGUAAAGAGCGUGUAGGCGGCCCGAUUAGUCCGCUGUGAAAAGUCCAGGGCUCAACCCUGGAAUGCCGGUGAUACUGUCGGGCUAGAGUCGGAAGGGGCGAGUGGAAUUCCUGGUGUAGCGGUUGAAAUGCGCAGAUAUCAGGAGGAACACCAAUGGCGAAGGCAGCUCGCUGGGACGUGAACUGACGCUGAGACGCGAAAGCGUGGGGGAGCAAACAGG